CAGGCCUUGAGGAAGCGAGGCGGGAGCUUCGGGGCGCGGAGGUGCAGAAGAUAUUACGCAGAAAAUGCCACUGGACGGUGUGAGAGGUGCAACAGGAGCUGCGAGGCCUGCCGGGGCCCAGGGCCUGCAGACUGCCUGUCUUGUGAUCCAUUUUUCCUUCUGCUCCGCCCUGCCCCAGAGCAUUACUAUGCAGAGCAAAGCACGCAGGCUGUGAGAGAUGCCAUCCAUGUGCGAUGAAUGCAAAGGUGUGGAUGUGAUGCUGGCCCUGAUAUCAGUUCCCCUACUUUAAACCCAGAAUAUAUGAGGUUAAAACCAAAAACACUCAUCUCCUUUCCCUGCUUCUCUAAGUUACAGUCACAUUGAUUUCCUCUGAACCAUCCCUGUAAAGUAAAGCUAGUGAUGUCUCAAGAAUAUGCACCAUGGCUAGGUUUGCAAUGAAGUUGCCUGGAGAAUUAAAUCACUAGGAAAUUUUCACCCGAAUGAGUGAAGAAAGCAGAAGUUAACUGUGUGGAAAAUGAAGAACAGAAAGUAUAGAUGACUAAGUGCAAAGAUUUGUAGUGCAAAGUCCUCCAACGUUCUUCAAA